AUACUUACCUGACGGGGAAGUAAAGCCUGAUCAAGGAGGGGUUUCUUCCAGAGUGAGGCCCUCGCAUUGCACUUCGCUUGGGCUGACCUCUGCGAUUGCUACAAGUGUGUAGUAACUCGACCGUACAAUUUCUGGUAGUGGGGGCCUGCGUCCGCGCUCGCCCCCU
rnacentral:snRNA from 1 species